AGGCGCCAUCUUGGGAAGGGUGGAGUGAACUAACAUGAUUAUCUUCCUAGUGAAAAGAAAGAAACUUUAGUAGGCCUGGAAAGAUCUAAACACCCUUUGAAGACCUGCCGUUCGCCAGGCACUGCUUGGUGCAUCUCACAGGAGAAGAAGCAAAGGCUGUCUGGGUGACCAAGAGUCUUCAUGAAAGCACCUUCUCCAUUCCUUCAUUCCAGAGAGCCUCCCCUGCACCCCGACUCCAUCUUCUUCCUCCCCGAGUUCAGCCUCCACACGACACACGCAGGGAGUUGACUGUUCUGCUUUUAUUCGAGCAUUCUAUACCCAACACACGGCUAACAAGGGCCUGCUCUGUGUUGGGAUUCAUGCCCGGGGCUUUGCACACGCUCUCCCCAUUUACCUGCAUAGCAGCCUGGGGCCCCCAGGGAGGACUUUUACACCCAUUUGACAGAUGAGAAGAGAGUGACGGUGACUCACAGCUGAACCAGAAUUCCAUCCAGGGAUAUUGACUGUAAAGACUCUGCUCUUGCAACUCAUAACCGUCUACUCAUUCAUUCAAAAAAAAGUUAUUUUUGACACGUGCCAGCUGUUGUGCAAGGCGCCGGAGGUAUAGAAAUAAACGAGAUGGACACGGCGCUUGUCUCUGUGUCCUCAGGUUCCAGUGGGAAGACUGACCCCUCCGUCACAAGGUAACGGGCACACAGGCUCACUGUAAGUCACAGCCAUUGUGAGGACAGAGAAACAUGAGUAGUGGCAGCGAUCUAAUACAGACUGCGGCCAGGGAAGCUGUCUCUGGGCAGGUGACAUUUCAGCUGUACCUGGCGGACUUCCCCGGCGGCAC
ensembl:lncRNA